UAUCAAAUGUAAUCCUGUCAGGUAUUCUCA
rnacentral:piRNA from 1 species